GCCGGAAGUCGGCGAGUUCUCGAGUGUGUGUCUGUCUGUGUCCCCAAGCGGCGCGCGGCCGGAGACAAGCGCUGGGGAUUCCCAUCUGAGGCGUCACUACUGUCACUACCAUCACCCACGGAGCCACUUCUAGAGGGGAGUAGACCUGGGCUUUAGCCGGGCAGAGAAGAUGUUGCCCCUGUCCAUCAAGGACGAUGAAUACAAACCACCCAAGUUCAAUCUGUUCGGCAAGAUCUCAGGCUGGUUUAGGUCUAUCCUGUCGGACAAGACGUCCCGGAACCUGUUUUUCUUCCUGUGCCUGAACCUCUCUUUCGCUUUUGUUGAACUACUCUACGGCAUCUGGAGCAACUGCUUAGGCUUGAUUUCCGACUCUUUUCACAUGUUUUUCGAUAGCACUGCCAUUUUGGCUGGAUUGGCAGCAUCUGUUAUUUCAAAAUGGAGAGAUAAUGAUGCUUUCUCUUAUGGGUAUGUUAGAGCGGAAGUUCUGGCUGGCUUUGUCAAUGGCCUAUUUUUGAUCUUCACUGCUUUUUUUAUUUUCUCAGAAGGAGUUGAGAGAGCAUUAGCCCCUCCAGAUGUACAUCAUGAGAGACUGCUUCUUGUUUCAAUUCUUGGGUUUGUGGUAAACCUAAUAGGAAUAUUUGUUUUCAAGCAUGGAGGUCAUGGACAUUCUCAUGGCUCUGGCCAUGGACAUAGUCAUUCCCUCUUUAAUGGUGCUCUAGAUCAGGUACAUGGACAUGGAGAGCAUUGCCAUAGUCAUGAACUGAAACAUGGUGCUGCACAUAGCCAUGAUCAUGCUCAUGGCCAUGGACACUUUCAUUCUCACGAUGGUCCCUCCUUUAAAGAAACAGCAGGACCCAGCAGACAGAUUUUACAAGGUGUAUUUUUACACAUUCUGGCAGAUACACUUGGGAGUAUUGGUGUAAUUGCCUCUGCCAUCAUGAUGCAAAAUUUUGGUUUGAUGAUAGCAGAUCCUAUUUGUUCAAUCCUGAUAGCCAUGCUAAUAGUUAUAAGUCUGCCUCAAGCAGUAGAGCAAUGCCUUAACCAUGCUGACUCAGUGGAAUCACCUGGCAAGCUUUUAAAAAACCGUUAUUCCUCUUUUAAAAGAGUCUGCUGGGAUAUUAAUGCAGAGAACUCCUCCCUUGUUGGAAAAUACUCUGCCUCAGUGCUAUCAGAGGGUGCAGCAGUUGCAAGGAGUUUACAAUUUACAAGAACAGCACUUCUGGACCUUAUGUUCUGACGUUUAUGUUGGGACCUUGAAAUUAGUAGUAGCACCUGAUGCUGAUGCCAGGUGGAUUUUAAGCCAAACACAUAAUAUUUUUACACAGGCUGGAGUGAGACAGCUUUAUGUACAGAUUGACUUUGCGGCCAUGUAAUGAAUGAAAAGAAAUUAUGCUUUUUGGGGGACCUAGUUUUUGGAUUGGUACUGCACAAUCCAAAACAUUGUACCUAACUUUUUAAAAUAGACAAAUCAUCACUGCACCUUCCCAGCACCAGCUAGACCGGGCAGUCAGCUGUGUGUUCUCUGAUGCGAGUUCACAGCUAAGGGAUCAGAAUUAAGAGGAUCUCUCCUGGACUUUUGGUCUUGUCUUUUGUGCUCUUCCCUCCAAACCAUUUUGAUUUCUGAGGUUUUUAGUUUUAUUCCAAGAGGUUGUUUUUCUUUCUUUUUUUUUUUUGUCCGUAUUUCAAAUGCCCUUACUCCUAUCCUCUCCUAACCAGUAAAAAAAUCAAGAUCGUAGGCCUCUGGUUAUCUGGAAUGUCAUCACUGAAGCUGCUGGAAACCACUGCUUUCAUUCCCACAAAACUAGUGUUAUUUAAAAAAAAAAAAAAAAAAAAGGAAAUCUGUUUUAUAUGUAAUGUCACAAUUGUUGACGUUCUUCAGUAUAAUCAUAUGUUUGUAAAAUUGUUUGUACCUUGCAAACUUAUGAACCAAACCAUAUUGGGUUUUCAAAGUGCCUUUGUAUCUGAAAAUGUAUUUGCCAGCAUAGAAAUGUAUCAUCAAAGGUCAUAUAUGUUUUUUUUAAUGAAUAUUCUAUAAUUUGUACAAAAUAAGAUUCACAUUAGUGUAUAAAGAUUGUCUUUUUAUGUACUUCCAGCUUAGGUUUAAGUAUAUGAUAAUUUUCCUUUUAGUGCUUUAUCAUAAAAAAAUUAAAGGUGUCAUUUUGCUUUUUAAAUCAAAUUCAAUUAUCACAUUAAAUUCUUUUGCGGCCUGUGUUUUCAAACCUUUGCAAAUUCAUCUGAUAAAGACAGUUGUUUUGAUUUCCUUGAAAUUCCAAAUUUCUAUAAAAACUACUGUAUCUAAGGUAAACAUCUAUCUCUUCUUGCCAUUUAUGGAUUUUAUUAGUGAAAGGAAAAAACAAUGUAGAGUGAAGGCAGACAUAGUUGUGACAAUGUUAUUUUACUUUUUCAUUCUUCAAAAUGCCAAGUCAUUUGGUUUGUUUUCUGGUGCAAGCAUUGCAUAAAUACAGUUGCUUUCAGGAAUCUUAAAGCAGCAUUUUAUUGCAUUUGAACUAUGAAAGGUAUAGAGAAAAUGUGGUAAUAUGGAACUCUUCCUAACCCAGGUAUCUUAGAAGUUAGUAAAUAAGUUUAUUUUUAGGUUCUUCUUUAUUUGAAAAAUAAAAUUGCAUUUUGAGAUGACAGGUGCUUGAACACUGAAAUAUUCUCUGUGUUCUAUGAAAAAAUAGGGAUCUGGAUAGACAUUUUUCCAUUGUACUUCAUUUUAUCACAAUGGAUCUUAUCCCUUUUAAAUUUAAAAAAUUGAAAUUGCUAGGGAAAAAAACCUGCAGAAUGGAAAUGUUUAGAUUGUAGAUCAAUAAUCAGUUUUUCACUGAUGUGGAAGAAAUUGCUGUUGAUUUUAUCUAAGUUUUGGAUAAUUUUCCCCCCUAUUUCUGACCUACAAUUUAUGAACUGUCCUCUAUUAGGAAAACUAGGCUACUUUCUUAAUGCUUUUCUAAAUUGUAACAGAUUGCCCUGAAUUGUUCCUAGGCCCCUUUUUGCAGAUGAUUAAGUAGUAUUUUCAUGUUUACUUACUGCCAGGCAGUUCUAAAGCUAAGAAUUCUUGCAGUAGAAUGUGCUUAACUGAAACAGUGGUUGAGAUGUUUUUAGGAGGAAAAAUAUAAAAGGAAAUGUCCUGAUAAUGGUACUGGUUUUUUCAUUAUAAAUGUUAAGUAGUCAUUUGGAAAUUUGCAUCCACUAACCAAGCCUGAUAGAAGCCUGGGUUCUGUGUUUUUUGGCAUAUGUUGGAAAAUGGCACAUCUAGAGGGAGGCAGGGAUUUUGGUGUGUGCCUUUAAUAACUAGUUACGUGUAAUUGUACUGAUAUUUCCCAUAUGGGGCUCGUAUUUGCACGGUCUUACAAAAUUUGCCAGUGCAUCUUGAAGAUCCAGUUCUACCCUUCCCUGAACCCUCCAUUCCAAGUGACGUUUUGUCAAAAUGUGCGUCACUUUAUUUCUGAAUACAUGAAGUGCAUGAGUAUGUUUUUUCCUUGAUAAGACAGAGUAUACAGAGUAUUAGACUGGUAGGAAACCUAAUUUUGCACCUGUUACAAUAGAGUGUAGCUCCUAUCAUUUAGAAGGUUGUCAUUUAUGUUCUAAUUCAGUGUCCUCAACCUACAUGUGCUGCAGUAAAAAAUUAGUGUGAGGAAAAAGCAACCUUUUCUCACUCUGAGUAAUGUGUCUUAUCAGUGUUCUUAGCACAGAGGUAUUGCAAAAACAGGUAAUUUCAUUGAGAAAUACUACCUGAUUAUUGUCAUAAAAUAAAUGUAAGAUGUCCCUAUUGUUGAGUUAAAUUUUUUGGGAAAAAAUAUCUCUGCUAGUAUUUUGAAAACCAAAAUAUUCCUAGAGAACAAGCCUGUAUUACUCAGGGAAAGUUUACUUUGCAGGUAAACUUACCCAAGCAGAAAUAUACUUGUACUAAUUUUGUGUUUUUAAAUUUAGAGUUUACUGAUCAAGAUGACGGGCUUAUAUAACGUAUGUAUGACUUCCUUAUUUUGCCGAUUCCUGUGUCCCUUUGUGAAGGGCAGUAUCUAUUCCUGUGUCCCUUUGUGAAGGGCAGUAUUUAUCUGUAGCUCAGUGCUCCUCACACUGUCAUCCUACCCUAUCUUCUGCAGAGACACAGGAAGUAGGGGCAGAUGAUACUGGCAUUUGUGAUUUCCCUUAUCCAGAAUGCUUCAGCAUUCUUUAAGUUAAGCUCACACAUAUACACCAGUAACCAAAAUACUGUGGCUUUUGUGCACCUUUGUGAAGCAGCCAAAGGUAGUUGAUCAGAGUUCUAUAUUUUUACCAUAUACUAUGGAAUAAUCAAUUUUAUAGUGAUUAUUAAUAUGAUCACAUCCUCUUAUAUAAUGUUGGGAUUCAAGAACAAAAAUAUUUCGUGGCUUAACAUGGAAUUUUAAAUCAAAGGGGAGUGUCCUAAGAAAGAGUCUCAUUCUGCCUCUCAUUUUACAGAAGAGAAAAUUAGAAGCUCAGAAAAACUCUCAUUUACUCAAGGUCACAGAGAUAGUGGUAAAGUCGAGGCUAGAAUCCAGGUCUUCUGACUCCAAGUCUAGGGAGAAUUCUUUCGACCCCGUCAUGCUGCCUGUCCCUCCUUGGAAGAUUUGCCUUUCUGUAAACGUGAUGAAAAGCAUCUGUAAAUAAGGGACAUCUGACCUCCAUUUUUGGUACAUUAAGGCACUUUAUAAAUGGAGUUUUAUUGUUUUAUUUUUCAUAUCUAAUUAUGAGGUUUAGAAUAUUAUCUUCCAUAGUAUUCUUUAUGGAAGCUAUAAUUAAUUUUUUUACCCUUUUUUACUUUUUUACUCUUGUGAAACUAGUUCCUGAUUUUUACAAAGUAACAUCUAUGCAUUGGAUACUUUUAACUUGAGAGUGAAGUUUUCUGUUAAUUGCCCUAGGAUAAAUCAAAGUCCUAUUUAAGGAUUGCUUAGUUUCUUGUUUCAUUUAUAUUUUGUGAACGGGUACUUUUUUAGAAACGAGGCUAAUUCACAGGUCGUAUCAUUUCAGUCUUGUUACUUUAGUUUUCAGUCACUGGAGACCUUUUGAAUUUUUCACAUUAUUCCAAAAGCCACCCCAAAUUGGGCAUUGAAUGUUACAUAGAGCAAAUCUUUUAAUUCGAUAGGGUGAAAAUUUAAGAAUCUCAGAACAAAACUGCUACUUUCAAUUCUUCAUUAAAAGCAUUCAUUACAUUGUUUUCUGUUACUGUCUUUGAAACACAUUAUUUUCCAAUUCACAAGAAC